rnacentral:lncRNA from 1 species
GAAAGUAAGCAAUCUAUACAUGUCAUAUUCAAAAGAGAAUAUUAAUCAAUUAAUAAUCAAACUAUAGAAAAUAAAAUGCAUUCUCACUUUGCAGCAACCUGAUGCCUCUCUCAAAAUAUCACAAAAGGAAAUAGUAGUCGGUAGAUCGGCGUAGUUGAAUAUGUAACAAUUUAUAAUGGUGUGUUAUUAUACCAUAAUGUAUGAAAUGAACCUUUCUGUUCCUUCCCAGAUUCUAUGAAUCAAAAGUAUCAUGUACUUACAGAAUAAAACCUCAUCAUCCUCUCCUUUUAUCGACAAGCUUUCUCCAUCCAGUUGAUCUCCUUUACCAAGAGAUCCCUCCAUAUUUCGUCUUCAUUAGACUUGACAUCCUGUAAAAAGACAUGCAAUAUCAGAUACAUAGUAGAAAACAAACUAACAGCACAAAUGAUGUUAUAUAAAUCAACAUUAUAUCAACUAAGGACAAUUAUAUCAAUAAAAACAAUUUUAGAAAAUAGUUUCAACCUUGAGAGAAGUAAACUGAGACCCAAUUGGGUGGAGACUUAAUGGGAACAAUAAAGAAUUCCUCGAGGUAAAUAAGAUGAUCAGUUUAGGAGUAAUGGCAAUAAAAGUUAUUAUUUUGGAGAACCUAUUCAAGACAUUGUAGUAUACUGGAACAAUAUGAGCGAAAUUUUUUUAGAGGAUUCAAAAGCUAAUUUAGAAUAUAUCAACAACGAAACAUAUGAAUCAUAAAAUAGAAUAAUUCCUAAAUCCGAAGAAAAAGUACACCUGCAAACAUUUGAAGGGAUUAUAAUUCUUUCUAACCUUCUAUAUUAUUGAUCUUCUAUUUCAUCAAUGUUUCUAACCUUCUCUAACAGUAUGGGUAAUAGAGUCUGACCAACUUCUAUUCACAUAAUCGCGUUUAUGGUUCUAUAAAAGAAUAUAAUUUUUUCAAUUUUGCUAAAGUACAAAACAAAUCCACAACUUAGGAAAACCCAAAUAGCAUCCACUUUGAAAGACUACAUAUGAAUCAACUUUGUUAAGGUUUAAGGAGGGAAAAAUCGACCACCUUUCGCAGCCUUCUAUAUCCAGUAAUGGUGGUGGCUAGAAGGUAUCUUCCCUACGACGUGUUUUCCAUCGAUUCAAUACAAAAGGAGACGAGAUUGAAAACCAUUCUAACAAACAUAGCUUUUGAUUUAGUUCAGGAAUACAAAGUAAAAAUCAUUAAUCAUAAUACUUACUCAAACUCUAGCAGUCGGAUCUUGACACCAACAAUUGAGGUAAUACCAAAAUCGGAAAACCCAAAUCCAAAAGAAAACCCGGUCGAAGUGUUGCACCACUAGAAAGCCCCAUCCCCAUCCUAGGAAUUACCGGCAUUGAAUGUAUCCGACAUCGAAGCAGGACUCGUCGGUUGUGGAUGUCGCCGUAGUCGAAGUAGAGUUGCAUGAAAUUAGGGCUCGCCGACUUCUGCAGUGGUGGAGGUAGACUCAUCGGAGUGUUCUGUGGUGGAGGCGGACUCGUCCGCGUCGGCUAUGGCGGAAUCGAAGAAGCAAACUGAGCGAUCGAUCGACUGCACUCUACGGUGGUAUCAUAGAAGAACUCCCAUAAGUUCGAUUUGUGGCCUCUUUGUGUUGAUUUCUUUCAAAAGAGAGGAGAAGGUUUGGAGAAGCGUAAGAAGUGGUGGAAGGAAGAAACUUGAUUGCCGGCAUUCCAAGCGGUUGAAAGUUUUGUGGAUUGAGAAGAAGCGGUGGAUGAGAGGUUAAAGUAACUCAGGUGGAGGGGAGUAACUAGAUGAACAGUAUCUGUGGUCAGGUACGGUUCAAAAG